UAAUAUUAAAUAAAAAUUACAUAAGUGCGUAUAACCAAAUGAAUGAGACGAGUGAGAACAUAAAGUCAAUAAGUUUUUCAGUGUUUUGGCGUGCUUCAGUAAAUUAUCGGCCAUGGUUGUGACUUAGUUCUUCGCAUUGGCAUAAAUUUGCCACUAUUGCAAUAAAGAAAUGUAUAUCAGAUAAUUUCCCAGCUAUCCAAGUUUUUGCAGAAUAUUAAUAGUUGGAGGCCAUUUUCCUGUGAAGUAAGAUUACCAAAGUCUGAGGUUACUGUGUUCUUGAAUGCGUCCCAGUAAGCAAAAGUUGAAUCACAUCCUACCAUCAAAUAUCAGAGUAAGAUGUGUUACUAGCAAUGUGAUGACAGAUUAAUGCAUCAAACUAAGAAUAGGAAACAAUAUAAGUGGGUGACAUAAUAGAGAACUGAAGGAAAGUUUUCGUAAACAUUCAACAAUCAUUACAUUUUUAGAGAAACAUUCGUAACAUAAUGAGGAAUCCGACAUUUUGGGCAAGGUCUAAUUUUAAUUCCUCCUUAAGAAGAAAAGAAGAAAUAUUACAAGAUACUUAGGCCAAAAUUGAUGAAAGCGAAGAUUUAGAUUUAAUAUUAAUUUUGUACGAAUUAUCGAAAUUAAUAGCAAAAGAGGAAAUAAACGUAUAACAUAA